CUGCCCUAUGGGUUGUAAACUUCUUUUAUAAAGGAAUAAAGUCGGGUAUGCAUACCCGUUUGCAUGUACUUUAUGAAUAAGGAUCGGCUAACUCCGUGCCAGCAGCCGCGGUAAUACGGAGGAUCCGAGCGUUAUCCGGAUUUAUUGGGUUUAAAGGGAGCGUAGAUGGAUGUUUAAGUCAGUUGUGAAAGUUUGCGGCUCAACCGUAAAAUUGCAGUUGAUACUGGAUGUCUUGAGUGCAGUUGAGGCAGGCGGAAUUCGUGGUGUAGCGGUGAAAUGCUUAGAUAUCACGAAGAACUCCGAUUGCGAAGGCAGCCUGCUAAGCUGCAACUGACAUUGAGGCUCGAAAGUGUGGGUAUCAAACAGGAUUAGAUACCCUGGUAGUCCACACGGUAAACGAUGAAUACUCGCUGUUUGCGAUAUACGGCAAGCGGCC
rnacentral:rRNA from 1 species